rnacentral:rRNA from 1 species
GACGAACGCUGGCGGCGUGCCUAAUACAUGCAAGUCGAACGCUGAAGGAGGAGCUUGCUUCUCUGGAUGAGUUGCGAACGGGUGAGUAACGCGUAGGUAACCCGCCUGGUAGCGGGGGAUAACUAUUGGAAACGAUAGCUAAUACCGCAUAAGAGUAGAUGUUGCAUGACAUUUGCUUAAAAGGUGCAAUUGCAUCACUACCAGAUGGACCUGCGUUGUAUUAGCUAGUUGGUGGGGUAACGGCUCACCAAGGCGACGAUACAUAGCCGACCUGAGAGGGUGAUCGGCCACACUGGGACUGAGACACGGCCCAGACUCCUACGGGAGGCAGCAGUAGGGAAGCUUCGGCAAUGGACGGAAGUCUGACCGAGCAACGCCGCGUGAGUGAAGAAGGUUUUCGGAUCGUAAAGCUCUGUUGUAAGAGAAGAACGAGUGUGAGAGUGGAAAGUUCACACUGUGACGGUAUCUUACCAGAAAGGGACGGCUAACUACGUG